UACGUAGGAGGCAAGCGUUGUCCGGAAUUACUGGGCGUAAAGCGCGUGUAGGUGGUGGGACAAGUCUGCUGUGAAAGCGCCUGGCUUAACCGGGCGAGGUCGGCGGAAACUGUUCGACUCGAGGACGGUAGAGGGGGGUGGAAUCCCCGGUGUAGUGGUGAAAUGCGUAGAGAUCGGGAGGAACACCUGUGGCGAAGGCGGCCCCCUGGGCCGGCCCUGACACUGAGACGCGAAGGCGUGGGGAGCGAAUGGG
rnacentral:rRNA from 1 species